rnacentral:rRNA from 1 species
CCUAGCCUUUUAAUUGGAGGCCUGCAUGAAUGGCUUGACGAGCGCCCUGCUGUCUCUCUUCCCAUGAACUUUUAAAUUAACUUUCGCGUGCAAAGGCGCGAAUGGCUGAGUUAGACGAAAAGACCCUAUGCAUCUUUACUGAGAGAGAAGAAAGUUCUUUAGGUUGGUUUAGCUGGGGCAGCUGAGGAAAAGGCAAAAUUUCCUUAAUAUAAAUCAUACUGGUGGGUUUAGAUCCAGGCUCUUUAGCGGGCUUGACAAGUAGAAAAGUUACGCUAGGGAUAACAGCGUUAUCCUUCUGUGGAGGUCUUAUCUGCAGGAGGGAUUGCGACCUCGAUGUUGAAUUAGGGAUAUACCAGAAAGGCGCAGAAGCUUUUAUUGUGG